rnacentral:rRNA from 1 species
UACGAAGGGGGCUAGCGUUGCUCGGAAUUACUGGGCGUAAAGCGCACGUAGGCGGCUUUCUAAGUCGGGGGUGAAAUCCUGGAGCUCAACUCCAGAACUGCCUUCGAUACUGGAAAGCUCGAGUCCGGGAGAGGUGAGUGGAACUGCGAGUGUAGAGGUGAAAUUCGUAGAUAUUCGCAAGAACACCAGUGGCGAAGGCGGCUCACUGGGCCGUACCUGACACUGAUGCGCGACAGCAUGGGGAGCAAACAGG